rnacentral:rRNA from 1 species
GACGAACGCUGGCGGCGUGCUUAACACAUGCAAGUCGAACGAUGAAGCCGGAGCUUGCUCUGGUGAAUUAGUGGCGAACGGGUGAGUAACACGUGAGUAACCUGCCCUUGACUCUGGGAUAACUGCGGGAAACUGUAGCUAAUACCGGAUACGACCCUCGGAGGCAUCUCCUGGGGGUGGAAAGAAUUUCGGUCAAGGAUGGACUCGCGGCCUAUCAGCUAGUUGGUGAGGUAAAGGCUCACCAAGGCGACGACGGGUAGCCGGGCUGGGAGGGUGACCGGCCACACUGGGACUGGAGCACGGCCCAGACUCCUACGGGAGGCAGCAGUGGGGAAUAUUGCACAAUGGGCGCAAGCCUGAUGCAGCAACGCCGCGUGAGGGAUGACGGCCUUCGGGUUGUAAACCUCUUUUAGCAGGGAAGAAGCGAAAGUGACGGUACCUGCAGAAAAAGCACCGGCUAACUACGUGCCAGCAGCCGCAGUAA